UACGUAGGGUGCGAGCGUUGUCCGGAAUUAUUGGGCGUAAAGAGCUCGUAGGCGGCUUGUCGCGUCGGAUGUGAAAGCCCGGGGCUUAACUCCGGGUCUGCAUUCGAUACGGGCAGGCUAGAGUUCGGUAGGGGAGAUCGGAAUUCCUGGUGUAGCGGUGAAAUGCGCAGAUAUCAGGAGGAACACCGGUGGCGAAGGCGGAUCUCUGGGCCGAUACUGACGCUGAUGCGCGAAAGCGUGGGUAGCAAACAGG
rnacentral:rRNA from 1 species